rnacentral:rRNA from 1 species
AGCCAUGCCGCGUGUGUGAAGAAGGCCUUCGGGUUGUAAAGCACUUUUGUUGGGGAAGAAACCGGCCGGGGUUAAUACCCUGGUUGAAUGACGGUACCCAAAGAAUAAGCACCGGCUAACUUCGUGCCAGCAGCCGCGGUAAUACGAAGGGUGCAAGCGUUACUCGGAAUUACUGGGCGUAAAGCGUGCGUAGGCGGUUUGUUAAGUCUGCUGUGAAAGCCCUGGGCUCAACCUGGGAACUGCAGUGGAUACUGGCGAGCUAGAGUGUGUCAGAGGAUGGUGGAAUUCCCGGUGUAGCGGUGAAAUGCGUAGAGAUCGGGAGGAACACCAGUGGCGUAAGGCGGCCAUCUGGGACAACACUGACGCUGAGGCACGAAAGCGUGGGGAGCAAACAGGAUUAGAUACCCUGGUAGUCCACGCCCUAAACGAUGCGAACUGGACGUUGGGCACACUUAGGUGCUCAGUUGUACGAAGCUAACGCGUUAAGUUCGCCGCCUGGGGAGUACGGUCGCAAGACUGAAACUCAAAGGAAUUGACGGGGG